rnacentral:rRNA from 1 species
UACGGGGGGGGCAAGCGUUGUUCGGAAUUACUGGGCGUAAAGGGCUCGUAGGCGGCUCGCUAAGUCAGACGUGAAAGCCCUCGGCUUAACCGGGGAACGGCGUCUGAGACUGGCAAGCUUGAAUCCGGGAGAGGGAUGCGGAAUUCCAGGUGUAGCGGUGAAAUGCGCAGAUAUCAGGAGGAACACCGGUGGCGAAGGCGGGUCUCUGGGCCGAUACUGACGCUGAGGAGCGAAAGCGUGGGGAGCGAACAGG